UACAGAGGUCUCAAGCGUUGUUCGGAUUCAUUGGGCGUAAAGGGCGCGUAGGCGGCCACCGCAAGUCGACUGUGAAAAUCUCCGGGCUUAACCCGGAAAGGUCAGCCGAUACUGCGGGCUAGAGUGCAGAAGGGGCAACUGGAAUUCUCGGUGUAGCGGUGAAAUGCGUAGAGAUCGGGAGGAACACCAGUGGCGAAGGCGGCCAUCUGGAUCAACACUGACGCUGAGGCACGAAAGCGUGGGGAGCAAACAGG
rnacentral:rRNA from 1 species